UGCGGAAGAUGAUGGUGAAGUAAAGGAUUGCGACGUGGAAAGAAAAAACGCUCACAAAAUACAAACAAAAUGUGAAAUGGCCAACAACGCCAAAAUGAAAGAUGAAAGUUGGUGCACGUUGAAGCCAACAAGAUUUGGCUCCGUGCGGGAGGAUGAUAACGGUACUCUUCCAAUUUCCAUCGUCCAAAUGGAAGAUUCGACCUGCUAUCAUGGAGCAGAAGACUAGAGUGAGGUAAGAG